GGUCUUUAUUCAGCGCCUAAUAGUCAACCAAAGACUAUUGUAUAUAAUGGUGGAGUAACUAGUUCAAGUUCAGGAAAUGAUGUUGUCAAAGAACUUCAACAACGUCAAAGAGUAUAUCAGAGUAACAUGUCAGCUAUUGUAAAAGCUACAAAUGAAAGGCGUGUGAGGAUGACUGUUGGAUUUCUUUUGGCCACUGGAGCGAUGCCUAUUUAUAUAUUGUAUUCAUUGGUGAAACCAAAAUAAUUUUAUAAAAACACAUCUAACUUAGAAACAAAUUGCUAAGUUGUUUAUUGAAUUGGAAAUAUUGAUUUAUAAAUUUAAUAGCUUUGUAUUUUGUGCGUGUAAAAGCUAGUUAAAUAAAUUAAUGUACUGGGUUUUCUUUCAAUCAAAAAA
rnacentral:lncRNA from 1 species